GACGAACGCUGGCGGCGUGCUUAACACAUGCAAGUCGAACGGUAAGGCCCCUCGGGGUACACGAGUGGCGAACGGGGGAGUAACACGUGGGUGAUCUGCCCCGCACUUCGGGAUAAGCCUGGGAAACUGGGUCUAAUACCGGAUAGGACCACUGCCUGCAUGGGUGGUGGAGGAAAGCUUUUGCGGUGUGGGAUGGGCCCGCGGCCUAUCAGCUUGUUGGUGGGGUGAAGGCCUACCAAGGCGACGACGGGUAGCCGGCCUGGGAGGGUGACCGGCCACACUGGGACUGAGAUACGGCCCAGACUCCUACGGGAGGCAGCAGUGGGGAAUAUUGCACAAUGGGCGCAAGCCUGAUGCAGCGACGCCGCGUGAGGGAUGACGGCCUUCGGGUUGUAAACCUCUUUCAGCACCGACGAAGCGCAAGUGACGGUAGGUGCAGAAGAAGGACCGGCCAACUACGUGCCAGCCGCCGCAGUAA
rnacentral:rRNA from 1 species